rnacentral:rRNA from 1 species
CCUACGGGAGGCUGCAGUAGGGAAUCUUUCACAAUGGGCGAAAGCCUGAUGGAGCAACGCCGCGUGCUGGAUGAAGGCCUUCGGGUUGUAAACUGCUUUUAUAAGCGAGAAAUAUGAUGGUAACUUAUGAAUAAGGAUCGGCUAACUACGUGCCAGCAGCCGCGGUCAUACGUAGGAUCCGAGCAUUAUCCGGGGUGACUGGGUGUAAAGAGUUGCGUAGGUGGCAUAAUAAGUAGCUAGUGAAAUCUGGUGGCUCAACCAUUCAGACUAUUAGCUAAACUGUUAAGCUCGAGACCGUUAGGGGUAACUGGAAUUUCUAGUGUAGGAGUGAAAUGCGUAGAUAUUAGAAGGAACACCAAUAGCGUAGGCAGGUUACUGGGACGGUUCUGACACUAAGGCACGAAAGCGUAGGGAGCAAACGGGAUUAGAUACCCUGGUAGUC